UACGUAGGGGCCUAGCGUUGUCCGGAAUUACUGGGCGUAAAGGGCGCGUAGGCGGUGUGUCAAGUCAGGCGUGAAAGCCCCGGGCUCAACCUGGGAACAGCGCUUGAGACUGGCACGCUCGAGUUCGGGAGAGGAUGGUGGAAUUCCCAGUGUAGAGGUGAAAUUCGUAGAUAUUGGGAAGAACACCGAUGGCGAAGGCGGCAUCCUGGACCGGCAUUGACGCUGAGGAGCGAAAGCUAGGGGAGCAAACGGG
rnacentral:rRNA from 1 species